rnacentral:rRNA from 1 species
AGUGAACGCUGGCGGUAGGCCUAACACAUGCAAGUCGAACGGCAGCACAGUAAGAGCUUGCUCUUACGGGUGGCGAGUGGCGGACGGGUGAGGAAUACAUCGGAAUCUACUUUUUCGUGGGGGAUAACGUAGGGAAACUUACGCUAAUACCGCAUACGACCUACGGGUGAAAGCAGGGGAUCUUCGGACCUUGCGCGAUUGAAUGAGCCGAUGUCGGAUUAGCUAGUUGGCGGGGUAAAGGCCCACCAAGGCGACGAUCCGUAGCUGGGCUGAGGGGAUGAUCGGCCACACUGGAACUGGGACACGGUCCAGACUCCUACGGGAGGCGGCAGUGGGGAAUAUUGGACAAUGGGCGCAAUCCUGAUCCAGCCAUACCGCGUGGGUGAAGAAGGCCUUCGGGUUGUAAAGCCCUUUUGUUGGGAAAGAAAAGCAGCAGGUUAAUACCCCGCUGUUCUGACGGUACCCAAAGAAUAAGCACCGGCUAACUUCGUG